UACGUAGGGUGCAAGCGUUGUCCGGAAUUAUUGGGCGUAAAGAGCUCGUAGGCGGUCUGUCGCGUCUGCUGUGAAAACCUAGGGCUUAACUCUGGGCGUGCAGUGGGUACGGGCAGGCUAGAGUGCGGUAGGGGAGACUGGAAUUCCUGGUGUAGCGGUGAAAUGCGCAGAUAUCAGGAGGAACACCAGGUGGCGAAGGCGGGCUUC
rnacentral:rRNA from 1 species